UGGGGAAUAUUGCGCAAUGGGGGAAACCCUGACGCAGCAACGCCGCGUGCAGGAAGAAGGUCUUCGGAUUGUAAACUGUUGUCGCGAGGGAAGAAGAAAGUGACGGUACCUCGUGAGAAAGUCACGGCUAACUACGUGCCAGCAGCCGCGGUAAUACGUAGGUGACAAGCGUUGUCCGGAUUUACUGGGUGUAAAGGGCGCGUAGGCGGACCGGCAAGUCAGGAGUGAAAUACCGGGGCUCAACCCCGGGGCUGCUUUUGAAACUGUCGGCCUUGAGUAUCGGAGAGGAAAGCGGAAUUCCCAGUGUAGCGGUGAAAUGCGUAGAUAUUGGGAGGAACACCAGUGGCGAAGGCGGCUUUCUGGACGACAACUGACGCUGAGGCGCGAAAGUGUGGGGAGCAAACA
rnacentral:rRNA from 1 species